GACAUAAAAAGAAACCCUAUUGCAUUAUUUUGUUUUUUCUGUCUUUCUCCGCCUCAAGCUUUCUAUCUUACUCUGGAUUUGAUAUUGCAAAGUGAUGAAAAUCUGAAGACCGAUCAGUACCUAAUAUCCUGGAUGGAUGACCAGGGAUGCGUUCCUAUUUCCAAAGUUGCCGACUUUAAAAGGGUUAAGAAAAUGACUACAGACAUACCAUUUAUCCUUGUUUUGUUUAUUCGUGUUAAUUACCUUCUCAUUUUAUUUGUGUAUGUACAAAUUGGAAUUUUAGCAGAAUAGCUUGGAAGGUAGUUUUGAAUGGUCUCAAACAUUAUUAUCUCUAAUAUUGGCAUUUCAAGAUUGUCAUUUUCUUUA